rnacentral:rRNA from 1 species
GAUGAACGCUAGCUACAGGCUUAACACAUGCAAGUCGCGGGGCAGCAUGGGGGUUGCUUGCAAUCCCCGAUGGCGACCGGCGCACGGGUGAGUAACGCGUAUCCAACCUGCCCUUCACCACGGGAUAACCCGGCGAAAGUCGGACUAAUACCGUAUGUUGUCCAUUGACGGCAUCCGAUUUGGACGAAAGGUUUGGCGGUGAAGGAUGGGGAUGCGUCCGAUUAGCUGGACGGCGGGGUGACGGCCCACCGUGGCGACGAUCGGUAGGGGUUCUGAGAGGAAGGUCCCCCACACUGGAACCGAGACACGGUCCAGACUCCUACGGGAGGCAGCAGUGAGGAAUAGUGAUCAAUGGGCGUAAGCCUGAACCAGCCAAGUAGCGUGCAGGAUGACGGCCCUAUGGGUUGUAAACUGCUUUUAUGCGGGGAUAAAGUGGCCCACGUGUGGGUUUUUGCAGGUACCGCAUGAAUAAGGACCGGCUAAUUCCGUG